rnacentral:tRNA from 1 species
GACUCGGUGGCGCAACGGUAUAUAGCGCGUCUGACUCCAGAUCAGAAGGUUGCGUGUUCAAAUCACGUCCGGGUCA